UACGUAGGGGGCAAGCGUUGUCCGGAAUUAUUGGGCGUAAAGAGCGUGUAGGCGGUCCGGUAAGUCAGCUGUGAAAGUCCAGGGCUCAACCCUGGAAAGCCGGUGGAUACUGUCAGACUAGAGUGCGGAAGAGGCGAGUGGAAUUCCCGGUGUAGCGGUGAAAUGCGCAGAUAUCAGGAGGAACACCGGUGGCGAAGGCGGGUCUCUGGGCAACAACUGACGCUGAGGAGCGAAAGCGUGGGGAGCGAACAGG
rnacentral:rRNA from 1 species